rnacentral:misc_RNA from 1 species
GCAAAGUCUUAACUAAUUAAAUAUAACAAUUCAAAACAGGAGUCUUCACUAUUUUCCCCAACUGCAAUGUCAAGUCAUUCUCCAUCGGCGUUAAGUUCAGAUCCAAGCACAAAAUUCUCUUACUUGUCGAUUUCUUCAUAAGUGGCACUGGUGACAGAGACUGAGUCACCAACCCAUCACCUGUAUUAUUAUUAUUUCCCCUAUGCCUUCUCAUGUGACCUCCUAAAGCUUGUCCAAUGGGGAACUCAAGGCCACAGAUAGAGCACUCGUGAAUUUUAGGCUUAGGGGGUGAACUGGGUAGUUUGAGCAAAUCAUCUCCCAUGAGUUUCGGUUUCUUGUGGCUUGCACGGUGGCCACCCAAUGCUUGGAACGAUGUGAAUUUCCUGUUACAUGUCUUGCAUGCAAAUAAACGACCAGUGGUUUCAUCAGUUUGACCAACUUUAGAGAGCAGCAUCAAGCAACUGGCCAUAUCCAUGGCGGUCUCCAUUCCUGCAGCUUCCUCUCUAUAUCUUUUCAUAUCUAAACUUACUUAACACAAGAAUAGCAAAUAACGUGAAAGUGAAGGUUUUUAAUUUGGC